rnacentral:lncRNA from 1 species
CCUCCACCAGGGCUUCUGCCUCCCCAGGGUGUCCCACUGGGUGUCACCAGCCAGAUGGCCAAUUGUUUGGAGCUUGAGGAUCAGCGGCUCUGGACUGUGAGGGCGGACACUUCUCCCCUCGGGGUCGCAGCUGAUUGGAGGGGCCGGAGCCUCGGUGGGCGUGGCCUUCCUGCUUUAUUUCAAGCCUCUUCCUCUGGCUCCGCCUGCAUUGGGCUGGGCUGUCCCCUCCCGUGAUGAGGUGCAGGUCGCUUCUCCCCUCUAAGGGGGCCUUGGUGACCCGCCUCCUUCCGGAGUAAGUCCUCUCCACGGUGGCCUCGGGAGGUGGAGCAGAGCUUCUGAAGGUCAGCACCUGCAGCCCGACGCCGGAAGCCCUGCCUGCGGGCCCCUGCAUGGGGACGCCACCAUGGAUGCUCUGAGGAGGAGGCUCACACACCCUCCCGCAGAACCACACGCACUCACACCCUCACCCCGCGUGAUUUGCCUGAUUUCCUCCGCGGGCGGCAGAUUAGCUACAUUGUGAUCAACCCACAAAGCACCGACUGUCCUAAGAGCGGCUGACUGCUCAGGAGCCCCCCCUUAGGGAUGGACAUUGAAGUUCUAAUUUUUUUUAUUUUUAUGAUUUUUUUUUCGCUUUUUAACUUUUAUCGAAGGGGAGUUGAUUUACAAGGUUGUGAUAAUUUCUGCCGUGGACAUUGACGUUUUUAAAAUCUCUGCGCCUGUUUCAAAAUUAGCCCUGCCCAGCUGCAACCCCUUCUUCCCGACCCCUGCAUCCUUCUACUCCGGCUCCCACCCCCGCAGGGUAGGCUGAGGGGGACAGAAAGGCUCGGCCUGUCCCCCAGCCACCUCUGGAUGCUUCAUUGGACCAGUGGGAGCAGCAGAAGCAGGGGCUGAGGGCUGCCUUUGCCUGGGGCCUCUGGGCACAUCUUCGGGCCACCCUGCCUCUUCCACCCCUGGCCUGCCUGCAGGGCAUGCAGCGAUUUCCCGGUCCUGGGUUCAGCCUGGGCACCGCUGGCCCCCACUCCGCCCCCCACCCCCCCCAUCCCCGUCUGUCUUUCUUAGCCUUCCUCUGCCUCCUCCUCAGCUCUGCACAGGUCCCCCUCUGUCCCUGCAGAUCUAGUUUCGCUCCCCCACUCCCACGGCGGCCCCUGGGAGCACCUGCUCCUUUUUCCGUUUCGCCUGCUCCUUCUUGCUGGCUCUGUUGGAGUCACUUGCUUCUUUGCUGUCCAGUUUCCCCUGCCUGGCAGCUGGUGGCUCCCUGCCUGUCUGUCCCCUGAAGAGCAGGCCCUUGAAGGAAUCCCUUCUGAGAGCGCCACCCUCAGGCCUAGGGGACCUGAGAGGCAGCUGGGGGAAGGGUGGGGACAAAAAUAGCUCCUUAUCUGAGCCUGAGGGAGGCCCGCCUGGGGAGGGUCAGGAAGGAUUCCAAGGCCAAGAGGGUGAAGAAGCUGCGGCAGGGUCUGUGCCUGGAUUAGGUCCCUGCUGGGAGCCCUUGGCCCUCCCACACCUGGAAGCUGCAGCUGAUCUGGCCACCGUGGGGCCUCCCAGGCACCUGGACUCAGGACUCCUAACAGGACCACAGGAACAGGUGACGGGCCCCAAAGGCACCGAGGUGGGUCUAAGCACUGUC